UUUACAACAAUUUAUUUGGACAAACAUUGAUGUGCAGCAAACGUAAAGGACAGUUUAACAAUAGGACUAAAACAUUUUUGACAAGAAACAGACAACUAUAAACCCCCUGAAGAAGGCCUCAAAAUAAAGGCCGAAACGUCGGUGAAGUAGAGAAAAUCUGUUUUUCUUUUUCGACAAGACUGCUCGCCAAAACCAGAAAGAUAA